AGGCAGUGCAGUUAGUUGAUUAC
rnacentral:miRNA from 1 species